CAACCCCCAGGCACCCGCGAGGCCAGGCCAGCGAUUUUAGGGGUCCCGGGCGCCCCGAGGCCGCUGCCUAGACCAGACUCAGCCUGCAGAUCAGGAUGUAGCUCUCAGGUACUGCUCCAGUGCCAUGAGUACCACCAUGCUCCUGAAGUGUUCCAGCCAUGCCCCCACCAUGAUGAUAAUGGACUGACCCUCUGAACUGUCCCCUUGGAGGCCGAAAGGAAUCAGAUUGGAAUCAGAUCGCCUGAAACUGGAAUUACAGGGAGUUGUGAUCCACCUGAUGUGGAUCAACCCACAGAGUGGAACAGCCCUCAGUUCUGGUCGGAGAAGCCUCUCUUUGCAGUAAGUGACAGUUAAUGCAGACACUCAGGGCUGGUCAAGGUGCUGAGAGGAAGUGACUUGAGCACUCAGCUCUCAGUUCAAGAAUGCAAAAGCCGUACUCACUCAUAACCCCUGAGCCUUCUCUCCAGUGUCUAUUAACUCUCUAAUCUUUUUGUUUUGUUUGUUUGUGUUUUGUGUGUGGGUUGUUUUUUGUUUUGUUUUGUGUUUUUGUUUUUGUUUUUUUGGCUUCUCUGUAUAACAGCCCUGGCUAUCCUGAAACUCACUGUGCAGACUAGGCUGGCCUUGUGCUCACAGAGAUCUGACUACCUAUGCCUCCUGAGUGCUGAGACUAAAGACUUGCGCCACCCAGAAACUCUCUAAUCCUUAGUAUUUCCCAGUGAAACUAUUUAGGCU